CCUACGGGGGGCAGCAGUGGGGAAUAUUGGGCAAUGGGCGCAAGCCUGACCCAGCAACGCCGCGUGAAGGAAGAAGGCUCUCGGGUUGUAAACUUCUUUUAUCAGGGACGAAGCAAGUGACGGUACCUGAUGAAUAAGCCACGGCUAACUACGUGCCAGCAGCCGCGGUAAUACGUAGGUGGCAAGCGUUAUCCGGAUUUACUGGGGGUAAAGGGCGUGUAGGCUGGAAAUCAAGUCAGAUGUGAAAACCAUGGGCUCAACCUGUGGCCUGCAGUUGAAACUGGUUUUCUUGAGUACUGGAGAGGCAGACGGAAUGCCUAGUGUAGCGGUGAAAUGCGUAGAUAUUAGGAGGAACACCAGUGGCGAAGGCGGUCUGCUGGACAGCAACUGACGCUGAGGCGCGAAAGCGUGGGGAGCAAACAGGAUUAGAUACCCGGGUAGUC
rnacentral:rRNA from 1 species